UAGACUAAAUACGUCGGUGAAAUGUCUA
rnacentral:piRNA from 1 species